AUACUAACAAUGCACAGGACGGCUGUGAUCACGAAGGCAGCCUCCCGGACCCACCCUGUCGCUGCACUGUAAUUAGACGAGGUGGUGUCUGCGUGGAUCCCGUUCAACGGGUACGCGGUGCAUAAUUUUUGAUAGUGGGUGGACCUGCGUUCGCGCGGUCUGCCC